rnacentral:rRNA from 1 species
UUGGAGGGCAAGUCUGGUGCCAGCAGCCGCGGUAAUUCCAGCUCCAAUAGCGUAUAUUAAAGUUGUUGCAGUUAAAAAGCUCGUAGUUGAAUUUCGGGGUCAGCAAGUUGGUCGUGCCACUGGUAUGCACUGGCUUUGCUGAUUCCUCCUUCUUGUAGAACCGUAAUGCCAUUAAGUUGGUGUUGCGGGGAAACAGGACUGUUACUUUGAAAAAAUUAGAGUGUUUAAAGCAGGCUAACGCUUGAAUACAUUAGCAUGGAAUAAUGAAAUAGGACGACGAUCCUAUUUUGUUGGUUUCUAGGAUUGACGUAAUGAUUAAUAGGGAUAGUUGGGGGCAUUAGUAUUCAAUUGUCAGAGGUGAAAUUCUUGGAUUUAUUGAAGACUAACUACUGCGAAAGCAUUUGCCAAGGAUGUUUUCAUUAAUCAAGAACGAAAGUUAGGGGAUCGAAGACGAUCAGAUACCGUCGUAGUCUUAACCAUAAACUAUGCCGACUAGGGAUCGGAUGAUGUUAAUUUUAUAAUGACUCAUUCGGCGCCUUACGGG